rnacentral:rRNA from 1 species
UACGAAGGGGGCUAGCGUUGUUCGGAUUUACUGGGCGUAAAGCGCACGUAGGCGGAUUGUUAAGUCAGGGGUGAAAUCCUGGAGCUCAACUCCAGAACUGCCUUUGAUACUGGCAAUCUAGAAGUCCGGAAGAGGUGAGUGGAACUCCUAGUGUAGAGGUGGAAUUCGUAGAUAUUAGGAAGAACACCAGUGGCGAAGGCGGACUCACUG